rnacentral:rRNA from 1 species
UGGGGAAUAUUGCACAAUGGGCGCAAGCCUGAUGCAGCCAUGCCGCGUGUGUGAAGAAGGCCUUCGGGUUGUAAAGCACUUUCAGCGAGGAGGAAGGNGGUGAACUUAAUACGUUCAUCAAUUGACGUUACUCGCAGAAGAAGCACCGGCUAACUCCGUGCCAGCAGCCGCGGUAAUACGGAGGGUGCAAGCGUUAAUCGGAAUUACUGGGCGUAAAGCGCACGCAGGCGGUUUGUUAAGUCAGAUGUGAAAUCCCCGGGCUCAACCUGGGAACUGCAUUUGAAACUGGCAAGCUAGAGUCUCGUAGAGGGGGGUAGAAUUCCAGGUGUAGCGGUGAAAUGCGUAGAGAUCUGGAGGAAUACCGGUGGCGAAGGCGGCCCCCUGGACGAAGAACUGACGCUCAGGUGCG